rnacentral:rRNA from 1 species
GACGAACCGUGCGAACGUUGUUCGGAAUCACUGGGCUUAAAGGGCGCGUAGGCGGGUUCGCAAGUCAGGGGUGAAAGCCCACGGCUCAACCGUGGAAGUGCCUUUGAUACUGCGGACCUCGAGGGAGGUAGGGGCGUGCGGAACUUCCGGUGGAGCGGUGAAAUGCGUAGAUAUCGGAAGGAACACCGGUGGCGAAAGCGGCGCGCUGGACCUCUUCUGACGCUGAGGCGCGAAAGCCAGGGGAGCAAACGGG